rnacentral:rRNA from 1 species
GCGCGCUGAACUUAAUCACAUCGAUCAGCGGAGGAAUCGUAACUAACGAGAAUUGCCUUAGUAGCUGCGAGUGAAGCGGGAAGAGGUCAAAUUAGAAAUCUGGCGGAUUCGCCAUCCGAGUUGUAUUCUGGAGAAGCGUUCUGCGUGCUGGACGGCGUACAAGUCCCUUGGAACAGGGCGUCGUAGAGGGUGAGAAUUCCCUCUUUGACACGGCCUCCCAGUGCUUUGUGAUGCGCUCUCGAAGAGUCGAGUUGUUUGGGAAUGCAGCUCAAAAUGGGUGGUAAAUUCCAUCUAAAGCUAAAUAUUGGCGAGAGACCGAUAGCGAACAAGUACCGUGAGGGAAAGAUGAAAAGCACUUUGGAAAGAGAGUGAAACAGUACGUGAAAUGGCUAACAUGGAAGGAAUUAGGAUUAGUAUGGAUAUGUGCAUAAGUCACAAUUAUUUAGUAUGUAAUGCUUAAUAUAAUGGCGUGCGGUUCACAUCGUUUCUUAUGUUGGGUAAGUAGUUCUAAAUAGGUGGUAUUUUGUGUCCAUAUUAAUCAACAUGGGUUAACUUAUGUUGGUAGGAUAAUAAUAAGAGGAUGGUAGUAAAUUUAUAUUUAUGCACUCCUCUUGUUUACACUACCUGGUAGGCUAAGGUUUAGCGGGGGUGCCUGAUAGGCAGGGCUAAUAGAGGGUGAAAAUUGAGUUAUCAUAGGCAUUUCGAGUGCAGCUCAUGACGUCUGAUGUGUACUCGUUAUUUGGCUUUACUACGGGAAUCUCUAUGUUAGAUGCUUAUCAAAUGCUCAUAAUAUCAUCCCGUCGUGAAACACGG